ACCAGACUGAGCAUCAAGAGAAGAACUUUGAAGUGAAACCCGGAAGCUCAACGGGAAGAAGGAGGGCAAAGGAAAUGAAAACCAGAGAUUUGAGAAGAAAGACCGGAAACUUGGCAGUGCCCUCUCCAAGCCAGGCCAGCAGUUUUAUUGCAGGCCGUCUGCGUUCCAGGCCUAUAAAAAUUCCUUUUGUCACUUGUAGUGAACUCUUGGCAAGUUGUGUGUGUGAUGCCACAGCUGUUAAACCCAGGGAAGGAGACGUAAAGGGGAAGAAAUUACUGCGAUUUUUGGCUCUGUCCACUGCAGAGCUGGUCCUGAGCAGAGUGACGAGGGGGCAGCCCGGUUUCACCUGGCUGGAGAGAGGGGACUCCCAGGAAUUGACCCUGAGCCUGGGGACCACUGCACCACGCGUCCCUUUCCUCUGCUGGAACCAUAAGGCAGCGCCGAGCAGAACAACGACUGGUCCAGAGGACGGGAAGUGACCAGAGCUGGCGACACGGACACAGCCCAGCCAUGCUUGCCUGCAGGGUUGACCUUGAGUGAUGUUCCGCUUUCUUCCUCGUUCUCUUCUGUUUUUCCGUAGUAAAUGCAUGUGCUUCCUCUUCAGGGGAAGGAAAUACUGCAAAAAAAAAAGAAGCAUCUCAGAUGUGGGAUCUUUAAGACGUGUGUUCUGCCUGUUGAGCAGGUGCUUGGGGUUUGCUGGACCGAUGAAGUGUGGUCAGUUUCUGCAAGGGUCUGGACUUGUUUCCCGCAGCCCUGGCAGUGGCCGUGUGGUGGCUGAGCAGACAGAACCAACGCCCGUGGGUGUUUGGCCAGCUGGCCCUGGCCUCCCACUAGGCCGUCAAAGACGCCUUCUGGAACUGCCGGCCACCUUGGCCCACUCGUUAUCCAGCAGGAUAAUAAAUGCAGACAGCAGAGCAAGGCCAGAGUCAGGCCGCUGCUGCUCUUCAGUGAGAUCAGUGCUGCCCGGCAGGGGCCGCUAG
rnacentral:lncRNA from 1 species